CCCUACGGGGCGCAGCAGUGGGGAAUUUUGCGCAAUGGGCGAAAGCCUGACGCAGCAACGCCGCGUGGAGGAUGAAGGUCUUCGGAUCGUAAACUCCUGUCGAUGGGGACGAAAGCCCGCAAGGGUUUGACUGUACCCGUUGAGGAAGCCACGGCUAACUCCGUGCCAGCAGCCGCGGUAAUACGGAGGUGGCAAGCGUUGUUCGGAAUUACUGGGCGUAAAGGGCGCGUAGGCGGUUUGGCAAGUCAGAUGUGAAAGCCCCGAGCUUAACUCGGGAAUUGCAUCUGAAACUGCUCAACUUGAGUCCUGGAUGGGGUAGUGGAAUUCCCAGUGUAGCGGUGAAAUGCGUAGAUAUUGGGAGGAACACCUGCGGCGAAGGCGGCUACCUGGACAGUGACUGACGCUGAGGCGCGAAAGCUAGGGGAGCGAACGGGAUUAGAUACCCCGGUAGC
rnacentral:rRNA from 1 species